GAUGAACGCUAGCUACAGGCUUAACACAUGCAAGUCGAGGGGCAGCAUGACCUAGCAAUAGGUUGAUGGCGACCGGCGCACGGGUGAGUAACACGUAUCCAACCUGCCGAUUAUUCCGGGAUAGCCUUUCGAAAGAAAGAUUAAUACUGGAUAGCAUAACGAGAAGGCAUCUUCUUGUUAUUAAAGAAUUUCGAUAAUCGAUGGGGAUGCGUUCCAUUAGUUUGUUGGCGGGGUAACGGCCCACCAAGACAUCGAUGGAUAGGGGUUCUGAGAGGAAGGUCCCCCACAUUGGAACUGAGACACGGUCCAAACUCCUACGGGAGGCAGCAGUGAGGAAUAUUGGUCAAUGGACGAGAGUCUGAACCAGCCAAGUAGCGUGAAGGAUGACUGCCCUAUGGGUUGUAAACUUCUUUUAUAUGGGAAUAAAGUGGGCCACGUGUGGCUUUUUGUAUGUACCAUACGAAUAAGGAUCGGCCAACUCCGUG
rnacentral:rRNA from 1 species